rnacentral:rRNA from 1 species
UACAGAGGGGGCAAGCGUUAAUCGGAAUUCCUGGGCGUAAGGCGUGCGUCGACGGUCAUGUAAGUCGGGUGUGAAAGCCCCGGGCUCAACCUGGGAAUUGCAUUCGAGACUGCAUGGCUAGGGUGCGGAAGAGGGAAGCGGAAUUUCCGGUGUAGCGGUGAAAUGCGUAGAUAUCGGAAGGAACACCAGUGGCGAAAGCGGCUUCCUGGUCCAGCACCGACGUUCAGGCACGAAAGCGUGGGGAGCGAACAGG